rnacentral:tRNA from 1 species
UGCGUGGUGGAGGAGUUCGGUUUCCUUGUCGGGUUCAUGCCCCGAAGACGCGGGUUCGAAUCCCGCCCACGCGA